rnacentral:rRNA from 2 species
UAGCUUGCUACCAGGCGUCGAGUGGCGGACGGGUGAGUAAUGCAUAGGAAUCUACCUAAUAGUGGGGGACAACCUGGUGAAAACCAGGCUAAUACCGCAUAAUCCCUACGGGGCAAAGCAGGGGACCUUCGGGCCUUGCGCUAAUAGAUGAGCCUAUGUCGGAUUAGCUUGUUGGUGAGGUAAUGGCUCACCAAGGCGACGAUCCGUAGCUGGUCUGAGAGGAUGAUCAGCCACACUGGGACUGAGACACGGCCCAGACUCC